rnacentral:lncRNA from 1 species
AAAAUGUCCAAAUUUACGUUAAACUUUUCUUUAGAUAUAGAUAUCUAUAUUUCACUUGGUUUUCUGAUUUGUUACUGUGAAUUAUCUUUAUAACGAAUUUAUCUAUGUUGCAUUAUACUUUAAGUUAUUUACGUAGUUAAGACUAACGUGUGAUAGCUUUUGUAACUUAAGUCUUUCCUUAACUUAUAGGAGAAGUUAUUGAUGUGGAUCAUGGAAUUAUUUGCGAAAAUGUUCCCAUACCUACACCAACGGGAGAAGUGGUGGCUUCCAGGCUAAACUUCAAAUGACAGUGGAUUCUAACAUCACGUAGCUUUCCAGAGGUCCAUCCACGUUGUCACAAAUGGCCGGAUCUCAUCGUUUCUUAGGGCCGAGUGGCAUUCCAUUGUGUAUACAUACCACAUCUUCUUGAUCCAUUCUUCCCUUGAUGGGCACCUAGGUUGCUUCCAAGUUUUGGCUGUUGUGAAUAAUGCUGCAGUGAACCUAGGGGUGCAUGUGUCUUUCUGCAUUGGUGUUUUCAAGUUCUUUCAAUAAAUACCCAGCAGUGGGCUAGCUGGAUCAUACAUAUGGUAGAUGUAUUCUUAGUUUUCUGAGGAUACUCCAUACGGCUUUCCAUAGUGGCUGCACCAGUCUGCACUCCCACCAGCAGUGUAGGAGAGUUCCUUUCUCUCCACAUCCUCUCCGACACUUGUCUCCUGUCUUGUUAAUUAGAGCCAUUCUGACCAGAGGAAGGUGACCUCUCCUUGUAGUUGUGAUUUGCCUUCCUCUGAUAGCUAAUGAUGUUGAGCCCCUUUCCAUAUGCCUGUUGGCCAUCCGGAUACCUUCUUUGGAGAAGUCACUGCUCAGAUCUUUUGCCCGUCUUUUUAAUCGGGUUGUUGAGUUUUUG